AUACGGAGGGUCCAAGCGUUAAUGGGAAUUACUGGGCGUAAAGCGUACGUAGGUGGCUUGAUUAGUCGGAUGGGAAAGCCCUGGGCUCAACCUGGGAACUGCAUUCGAUACUGUCAGGCUAGAGUAUAGUAGAGGGAAGUGGAAUUCCGGGUGUAGCGGUGAAAUGCGUAGAUAUCCGGAGGAACACCAGUGGCGAAGGCGGCUUCCUGGACUAAUACUGACACUGAGGUACGAAAGCGUGGGGAGCAAACAGGAUUAGAUACCCGAGUAGUCC
rnacentral:rRNA from 1 species